rnacentral:piRNA from 1 species
ACUGAGGCCCAUCAGGAUGUGGUGGGAAGAU